AUGUUCAUUUUCUUCCUAACUCCUGGUCGCAGGUGGUUGCACACGACGAUAACGGUGGGUGCCCGAACGAGACUGCAGGACCCCCCGCAGGGACUUUCAAGCCAAUAUUAUCCCUCGGUGAUGCAGGAGAAGUUCCUGUCAGGCCAAGACUCGGAGCACAUGGACUACCCCCAGAUCGACAACCACGAGAUGCUGGACGAUCACUGGUCCAGAGAGGCCAACUAUGACGCGGAGGACAAGUACAUCGACAAAGAUUAG
rnacentral:rRNA from 1 species